UACGAAGGGGGCUAGCGUUGCUCGGAAUCACUGGGCGUAAAGCGCACGUAGGCGGAUUGCUAAGUCAGGGGUGAAAUCCUGGAGCUCAACUCCAGAACUGCCUUUGAUACUGGCGGUCUUGAGUCCGGGAGAGGUGAGUGGAACUGCGAGUGUAGAGGUGAAAUUCGUAGAUAUUCGCAAGAACACCAGUGGCGAAGGCGGCUCACUGGCCCGGUACUGACGCUGAGGUGCGAAAGCGUGGGGAGCAAACAGG
rnacentral:rRNA from 1 species